GACGAACGCUGGCGGCGUGCCUAAUACAUGCAAGUCGAACGCAGUGGGGACGGGUGAGUAACACGUGGGUAACCUCCCAUCAGAGGGGAUAACACUUGGAAACAGGUGCUAAACCGAUACUGAUGGAUGAACCCGCGGUGCAUUAGCUAGUUGGUGAGGUAACGGCUGACCAAGGCCACGACGCAUAGCCGACCGGAGAUGGUGUUCGGCCACUUUGGAACGUCGACACGGCUCAUACACCUACGGGAGGCAGAAGUAGGGAAUCUUCGGCAAUGGACGAAGGGCUGACCGUGCAACGCCGCGUGAGUGAAGAAGGUUUUCGGUUCGUAAAACUCUGUUGUUAGAGAAUCGGUAUCUAACCAGAAAGCCACGGCUAACUACGUGCCAGCAGCCGCGGUAAUAC
rnacentral:rRNA from 1 species